GCAUGCAUGUGUGCCUGUGUGUGUGCAUGUGUGUGAUUUCAUCUUUGUGUUAACCCGUGUUUCUGCAUAUUUUUGUAGCCGCCUCUCCCUCUUUGUUUUGACUCAUUUGUUUGGAGGUGUAGGCUUGCCAAAAUGUCUGCAUUUUGGUGUCCGUAUGUACACUUGUUUGUGUAUGUGCAUGCGUUCAAGAGGUGCAUAUGCAUGUGUGCUGACAGUAAUGAAGGGUUUGGAGUUUGCUGCCGGUGGAGAGUUUAUCAUUACUCUAAUCCCUCUGGAGAGAUAUUCUCUCACCUAACCCUCCCACACAUAUCCUUCUCCACACUCAGGCCGGCAGAUAAUAUUUGUUGUUUGAAAGACUCUGUCAUUUUUCAAAUGGAAAACAUUACACAAUAAGGAAAAAGUACAUCUUUAUGUGUCCCCCCCCACCCAACACUCCCCAAUUGGAUCACUCUGUUUAUUCUGGUCUCUCUUGGCUCUGUGGGUUCAGUGCAUCUCAUGGCUCGCUCAGUCUUAACUGGUGAAAAGAUGGCUUAUUUGCAAAAUUGUUGAAGAGUUGUUGCAAAGACGUAGGAGGUGUUAUCUUGUUCUGGCAAUCCACAAGAGAGCAAAGAAUGAAAGUCCUCAUUAUUCACAUACAAAAGUGUCUAUGAUCUUCAUAUCUAAUAUCAGAAAUACUGUUUUUAGUCAGUUUCCUCUGGGAAAUAAUUAAAUUAGAAGCCAAACUUGUAAUGAACAUAAAAAUACACUUCCGCCUGUCCCUCAGAAUGCCUUCUUUUUGCUUUCCAGUACAAAAACUUCCAUUCUGUACAUACAGGGAGGACUUAAAAUGUGUGUGAGAAGAGGAUUGUGGCAAAGCUGGGUGUAUCUUGACUCGCAAACUGUGCUGGAGGGCACCUGUUCUAAAUGCUAAAUGUGUGAGCAAGUGAUUUGUGCAGCGCUGCUCAUAUGCCUCCAAUAGACAGGCAGCGAUGGGAGGGUGGGUGUGGAGGGGAUUACAGCUGUGUGGGUACUAGAGGUCAGACAAAAUAAAACCAUAUUGGACAGUUUAAGAUUAGAAAUGAUGCCGAGGAAUGGAAAUCGCAGCCUGAGUGUAACCAUUAAAGCACAAUGUAGCCAGGAGAUAAGAUUAGGUAGUUGCCCAAAGCUGUGCCUUCUAUGCUAUUGAGCCAAAAGCUUUUGAAGAUCUCAGGUCAGCUGAUAAAACUCUGUAUGCCUCAAAAACAGAGUUUUCUCACAGUCAGGCGGUCUUCACAUCCUGUGAGCAACUCAGAUGACAAGAAUUGUGUUAUUGUGCUGAAAAAUGUGCUGAUUGGAAUUUUAAAGCGCUGGAUCAUCAUUUUCAAGCUAUUUUGUGUCAGUAUUUCGCAUCAGAAGGGUCGUUAGGAGCAGGUGGCUGCCCCAUCCAGGCGCCUGCCAAUAGAUAAUCGACUAAAGGCCCCCUCAGCAGGACCACAUUGAUCUGGCAGAAGGGAAUGCUGGCCCUCUCAUCACGGCACAAGCUCAUCUACUGCUCUUUCAUAAACUCUGCGCAGACCAAUCUCACCACUCCGUUUAAAUGAUGCCUCCACCCUCCUAUCCCCUAAAGUCCCAUUUGAAGCAGCCCCAUUCCCCUCAAAGUGUAAAGACUGGUGAUGAGAAUUAACCACUCAUGGAUCAAAGGCCCAUGGCUGCCGAGCUGUGGAGCAGCCCAGUGUCAGAGGCUCCUCGGUCCUCACCAUCCCCCCCAACUCAUCAGUGUUCUCUCAGUGUGGACCCCGCCCUGACACCUGCUCCCACUGCGCUCAUUUUGCUCAUUAUUGAGAUGUCAGCGUAAACUCUGUUCAACACAUGGCAGGGCAAUAGACUGACCAGAGCAUAUUGUCAUAGACAUUAUAAAUCCUGUUUAGCUUUUUUUCUUCCCUUUUUUU